AUUGAACGCUGAUGGCAUGCUUAACACAUGCAAGUCGAACGGCAACACGCGACCAGCUUGCUGGUUGUGGUGGCGAGUGGCGAACGGGUGAGUAACGCGUGGGAAUAUGCCUUAAAGAGGGGGACAACCUGGGGAAACCCAGGCUAAUACCGCAUACGCCCUACGGGGGAAAGCGGGGGAUCUUCGGACCUCGCGCUAUGAGAUGAGCCUGCGUUAGAUUAGCUAGUUGGUAGGGUAAAGGCCUACCAAGGCGACGAUCUAUAGCUGGUCUGAGAGGACGAUCAGCCACACUGGGACUGAGACACGGCCCAGACACCUACGGGAGGCAG
rnacentral:rRNA from 1 species